GUAAGGGUGUCAAGCGUUAAUCGGAAUUACUGGGCGUAAAGCGUUGCGCAGGCGGUUAUGUAAGACAGUUGUGAAAUCCCCGGGCUCAACCUGGGAACUGCAUCUGUGACUGCAUAGCUAGAGUACGGUAGAGGGGGAUGGAAUUCCGCGUGUAGCAGUGAAAUGCGUAGAUAUGCGGAGGAACACCGAUGGCGAAGGCAAUCCCCUGGACCUGUACUGACGCUCAUGCACGAAAGCGUGGGAGCAAACAGGAUUAGAUACCCUGGUAGUCCACGCCCUAAACGAUGUCAACUGGUUGUUGGGUCUUCACUGACUCAGUAACGAAGCUAACGCGUGAAGUUGACCGCCUGGGGAGUACGGCCGCAAGGUUG
rnacentral:rRNA from 1 species